CCCCGAGCAUCGGCGGGGGCUGCUCCCCGCGACGGGGCCCCCUCUGCUCCUAACGGCAUGGGCACCCGCGGACGCCUGCCCCCGCCCCUAAACUAUCACACCUUAAAUGUAGUCCCGUCCCCUCGAGGGCUGACGGGGAGGGCUGAGCCGGCCGCGCACAGCAGGACGAAAGGCCCCUCCCGCAGAAGCCGGCGUGGGGCCGUUCCCCUCGUGUCGGUUUUGCCCUCGGGUGACGCCCGGGGAUGCUCGCGGCGUCCCCGAUGCGCCCCAUGGGCGGGGAGGUGGGAAGUGCCCUCUGACAGUGCCAUCGUGAUUAAUUCAGGGCGCAACCCGGUGCUUGGAUCCUGCCCCCUUGGUACUGUGGCCUUUCCUUAAUAGGUGCCGCGGGAAUGUUUUGGGGAAGGAAUCCAGGGUUCGUUUCCCGGACAGCUUUUCCUCAACAGCUCAGCGAAUAUGAAACAGCCUGAACUAUCUGUGCACAUCUCCAGUGUCUUCUUCCGCAGAGGAACUGUUUAUCCUGAACUCCGGGCCAGCGAUUCCAGCCGCUGGUGGUGGGGAUAGCGAUGCCGACACCAAAGCAGCUGUAUCGGUUUCCACCAAGUGGGGAUCCAGCCCUUUACUCAUAUUUUAAAAUUCCGAAACUGUGCCUAGUAUGAAGUUAAACAACCAAAUUGGUGAAGGAUUCAAGAAAAGGCUGAUGAUAGAUGAUCUGCAGCGAUUUACAAGGACAUAAUCCCAUCACGGAGUUCAGAAUGCACCAUACAGUGUGUGAAGAAUUGCUUUGUAUUUAUUUCCAUUCUCUCUAUUCUCACACAACCGAGGGAAAAAAGGUUAAAUGGUUAUUCCCCAGGCUAGAAAGCAGGGGAAAGCAAGAGAGGGAUCAGCAGUGUCAGAUACUCUGACACUCACCUAAAAGCCAAAACAUAUCCUGUGAACUGGCAACCUUGGAAGUCUGUGUAUGGCAGCUUUCAUGUCAGUGCUCCUGCAGCUGGGUGCAGGGCCUCUGCCCACGGAGGCCUUUGGACUCUAGGGAGAAGAAGAAUCCAAGGCAGUAUGAAAAGGUCAUCCUUGAACUCUGGCUUUUGCCUCAAAACAUGGGAAAAACCCUAGAAGCAGGUCUUUCCUCCCAGCAAAGUGUAUGGGACUACACAGUGAUAAGUAUGCUUGUAUGCUGCUGACUGCAGAAGUGCACUCCAGAUCUGGUUUGAAUACCUUCUCCAUCAUGGGACCCCUGCGUGACCAAAGUCUGUCCUGCAGAUCGCCCAGGGGACUGUGUGACUGAUAAGGUUAGCUGUCCUCCUGGCAAUGCAUCCUUCCAGAAGCUGGGGGUGUGUGGCGGACAGAUGAGUGAACUUUUGCCUUAAACAUUUCUUGGUACAUAAGGUGCAAGCAAACCAUAACCCCGAACAAGCCAUCUGUUCCCAGCGGAAACAGGACUGAGCUGCUGCGACCCCCGAAAUGGUCUCCCUGCGACCACCCAGGACACACCGAGCCUGCGCUGAACCAGACCACGAUCGGGCAGAGACUUUGGGACCUGGACUGUAAAUUAUUGCCGUUUAGCACAACUUCUAUAAAACUUGCUUAGCAUGAGUGGCUAAAUUUGCUGAAGCCUUAGGCCGCACUCCCUAGUUUGGUGAGAAAGGGCCCCAGAGCUGGUGCAGGCGGGAACGAUAAGGGAGUUACCAGCAGUUUGCAUUCCUGUGCUUCACACUCCGGCAGGAAGGAUGUCAAGGCUUUGAAGUGAGGCCUGCUUGGGCGCCGGGACCCUGGGGAGCAGGGCCUCCUCUUGCUGUGGAAACAAUGCUGAUUGGGGGGGGGGGGGUCUGGGCUAUCUUGGGGUCCAGAUUAUAUUCUCUUUGUCUGGACCUUGGGAAAUAACACCUACUAUCACUGCUGGGGAAGUAAUAAUUUGUCAGGGCCUUGAGAGAUAAGGGCAGGACCUGAAGAAUGAAAACGCAUCUGUCAGCAGAAACCACAACAGUAAACAACCUACCUAGGGACCCAAUAAGGAGCAGGAGACCCCAGACCUAAAUAUUACUAUUGGUCCAAACUACUGCAUGAAGGGCGGAGGGCUUAGAUUGGAAAGUAUAAUUGCCCAGGGAUUUCUUUGUUCGAGGUCCCUCUUCGGAGGCACCCAACUCGAGCUGUAACUACUGCACACAUGUCAUUACAAUUUAUUUAUUUAAUUUGCCUCGAUUUGGCUCCAAACUUUUCAGCGGGAACCGAGGGUCGGACCUUGCUCGAGUUGUAAUUACUGCACGUGCAUCGCUAAAAUUUACACCCAGGGUGAAGAGGACCAACGGGACGCCGCUGGAUCCACAGGUGGUGAUAUCUCUUUCUCUCUCCGCCUUUCUCUCUCUCCUCCCCUUUGCCUUUCCCCACCUUUUCUCCCCACUCCGUGGAAAAUAAAGUUAAAAGGUUGUACGAUAUUUGACCGGUUUUA